CAAGAAAAUAUGAGCAACGCCAGAAGCGCCCUUCUAUCCCCAAAUCCGUUAGUUGAAAACCCCACCCAAACCCCACGCCAGAAAGUUCCCCAAAUUUCUUACCAGUCUCCGCUCGUCUCAACGAUUCGAGCAGCACCUCUAACCCACAACUCAAGCUCUCCGUCCACCGCUUCACACUAGGUAUCUUUCUCUCUAGAUUGAGAUUUUGAAUGUGAUUGGUUGAUGGGGUUUGUGUAGGAAUCCUUGGGAUGGACGAGUCCUACUUACCCAGAUGGAUUGGAUACGGGUUCGGUUCGCUUUUGAUUUUGAACCAUUUUGUUGGCUCAACUGCAACCCCAGCAUAGCUUGACGGAAGCUUUGGGUCUGUCUUUGGCUGCAUUCUCCGUAGCACUUCCCUUCAACAACAAAGUCUUUUUCCACCAAGUGAGAUCGGCUCGGCUAUAUAUUCAUUCUAGAUUCAUUUUCAUAAGGAUUCGAUGUAACCUAAGAGUGCCGGCUGUUGACUACUAGACGCCCUCCCCCUCCUCCUUUAUCUGGGCUUGUGACCGGUAAUGUAAGAUAAUCUUACACAGGCGGAGCUUCCGUAGCACUUCCCUAUCUUGCAAAAUUUCUCAAGGGUGCUAUUCCGAUGGAUCAAACAAGCAUCCCACAAGGGUGUGAGCAAAUAUUUGUGAUAUCACAAAAUGUCUCAGAUACUCAGGAGGAGGACUUGGCUUGGGCCAUGUACAUCUUGUUGCGCAAUACAAACACGAUAGCAGUGGUACAUAGCAGAUGAGGUUUCAAUAGCCGACGUACUUGGUUGGUUUGAGAAACAGAUUGAAAGCAUUAGCAUUUCUGAUGUGAAGGAGACCCUAUACCUUUCUCAGAUUGAGGGUAGCUAUAACUUGGGUAUUAUUUAAUCACCGUUGUUUCCAAAAAUGACUGCCUUUACUUACAACAGUAUGAAACUUAUGUCCAUGUUCCAGAUUCUGGACUCUGGCAGAUGCUACCGCAGGGGACUUGUUCCCUCCUUGUACAACCGAUUCUGCAAGUUCAGCAUUCAAGUGACGAUGAGAUCCAAAAAGUUGAAGGAUUUGUCUUGUUGGCUUCCAGCAUGGGGUAUGCAUGCAGUGAUAAGGACAGAGCCUGGAUUGGAGCUCUCACAAACAAGAUCAGAGGUAAGCGAUAAAGAUAGAGCCUGGAUAGGAGCUCUCUCGAAGAAACAAAACUAAACCAGAAAAUAAGUGUAGUUAUAUAGCAUAUGAAUUGGAAUGCAGGAUUGUUCUUUAAAAUGCAACUUUAUGGUUUGAUUUUUGCUGAUACAAUCGUAGCAGGUAUUAGUUUCGUAGGUACCAAUUGCUGUGUUGGAAUUCAUAUAAGAUUUGAAUGAGAAGAAGUGCACAAAUACAAUCCUUGCUUGAUUUGCAAACUACAGUAAAAGUAUAGACAUUUUGCUUA